rnacentral:rRNA from 1 species
GUUAAGCGACUAAGCGUACACGGUGGAUGCCCUGGCAGUCAGAGGCGAUGAAGGACGUGCUAAUCUGCGAUAAGCGUCGGUAAGGUGAUAUGAACCGUUAUAACCGGCGAUUUCCGAAUGGGGAAACCCAGUGUGAUUCGUCACACUAUCAUUAACUGAAUCCAUAGGUUAAUGAGGCGAACCGGGGGAACUGAAACAUCUAAGUACCCCGAGGAAAAGAAAUCAACCGAGAUUCCCCCAGUAGCGGCGAGCGAACGGGGAGCAGCCCAGAGCCUGAAUCAGUGUGUGUGUUAGUGGAAGCGUCUGGAAAGGCGUGCGAUACAGGGUGACAGCCCCGUACACAAAAAUGCACAUACUGUGAGCUCGAUGAGUAGGGCGGGACACGUGGUAUCCUGUCUGAAUAUGGGGGGACCAUCCUCCAAGGCUAAAUACUCCUGACUGACCGAUAGUGAACCAGUACCGUGAGGGAAAGGCGAAAAGAACCCCGGCGAGGGGAGUGAAAAAGAACCUGAAACCGUGUACGUACAAGCAGUGGGAGCACGCUUAGGCGUGUGACUGCGUACCUUUUGUAUAAUGGGUCAGCGACUUAUAUUCUGUAGCAAGGUUAACCGAAUAGGGGAGCCGAAGGGAAACCGAGUCUUAACUGGGCGUUAAGUUGCAGGGUAUAGACCCGAAACCCGGUGAUCUAGCCAUGGGCAGGUUGAAGGUUGGGUAACACUAACUGGAGGACCGAACCGACUAAUGUUGAAAAAUUAGCGGAUGACUUGUGGCUGGGGGUGAAAGGCCAAUCAAACCGGGAGAUAGCUGGUUCUCCCCGAAAGCUAUUUAGGUAGCGCCUCGUGAAUUCAUCUCCGGGGGUAGAGCACUGUUUCGGCAAGGGGGUCAUCCCGACUUACCAACCCGAUGCAAACUGCGAAUACCGGAGAAUGUUAUCACGGGAGACACACGGCGGGUGCUAACGUCCGUCGUGAAGAGGGAAACAACCCAGACCGCCAGCUAAGGUCCCAAAGUCAUGGUUAAGUGGGAAACGAUGUGGGAAGGCCCAGACAGCCAGGAUGUUGGCUUAGAAGCAGCCAUCAUUUAAAGAAAGCGUAAUAGCUCACUGGUCGAGUCGGCCUGCGCGGAAGAUGUAACGGGGCUAAACCAUGCACCGAAGCUGCGGCAGCGACGCUUAUGCGUUGUUGGGUAGGGGAGCGUUCUGUAAGCCUGUGAAGGUGUGCUGUGAGGUAUGCUGGAGGUAUCAGAAGUGCGAAUGCUGACAUAAGUAACGAUAAAGCGGGUGAAAAGCCCGCUCGCCGGAAGACCAAGGGUUCCUGUCCAACGUUAAUCGGGGCAGGGUGAGUCGACCCCUAAGGCGAGGCCGAAAGGCGUAGUCGAUGGGAAACAGGUUAAUAUUCCUGUACUUGGUGUUACUGCGAAGGGGGGACGGAGAAGGCUAUGUUGGCCGGGCGACGGUUGUCCCGGUUUAAGCGUGUAGGCUGGUUUUCCAGGCAAAUCCGGAAAAUCAAGGCCGAGGCGUGAUGACGAGGCACUACGGUGCUGAAGCAACAAAUGCCCUGCUUCCAGGAAAAGCCUCUAAGCAUCAGGUAACAUCAAAUCGUACCCCAAACCGACACAGGUGGUCAGGUAGAGAAUACCAAGGCGCUUGAGAGAACUCGGGUGAAGGAACUAGGCAAAAUGGUGCCGUAACUUCGGGAGAAGGCACGCUGAUACGUAGGUGAAGCGACUUGCUCGUGGAGCUGAAAUCAGUCGAAGAUACCAGCUGGCUGCAACUGUUUAUUAAAAACACAGCACUGUGCAAACACGAAAGUGGACGUAUACGGUGUGACGCCUGCCCGGUGCCGGAAGGUUAAUUGAUGGGGUUAGCGCAAGCGAAGCUCUUGAUCGAAGCCCCGGUAAACGGCGGCCGUAACUAUAACGGUCCUAAGGUAGCGAAAUUCCUUGUCGGGUAAGUUCCGACCUGCACGAAUGGCGUAAUGAUGGCCAGGCUGUCUCCACCCGAGACUCAGUGAAAUUGAACUCGCUGUGAAGAUGCAGUGUACCCGCGGCAAGACGGAAAGACCCCGUGAACCUUUACUAUAGCUUGACACUGAACAUUGAGCCUUGAUGUGUAGGAUAGGUGGGAGGCUUUGAAGUGUGGACGCCAGUCUGCAUGGAGCCGACCUUGAAAUACCACCCUUUAAUGUUUGAUGUUCUAACGUGGACCCGUGAUCCGGGUUGCGGACAGUGUCUGGUGGGUAGUUUGACUGGGGCGGUCUCCUCCUAAAGAGUAACGGAGGAGCACGAAGGUUGGCUAAUCCUGGUCGGACAUCAGGAGGUUAGUGCAAUGGCAUAAGCCAGCUUGACUGCGAGCGUGACGGCGCGAGCAGGUGCGAAAGCAGGUCAUAGUGAUCCGGUGGUUCUGAAUGGAAGGGCCAUCGCUCAACGGAUAAAAGGUACUCCGGGGAUAACAGGCUGAUACCGCCCAAGAGUUCAUAUCGACGGCGGUGUUUGGCACCUCGAUGUCGGCUCAUCACAUCCUGGGGCUGAAGUAGGUCCCAAGGGUAUGGCUGUUCGCCAUUUAAAGUGGUACGCGAGCUGGGUUUAGAACGUCGUGAGACAGUUCGGUCCCUAUCUGCCGUGGGCGCUGGAGAACUGAGGGGGGCUGCUCCUAGUACGAGAGGACCGGAGUGGACGCAUCACUGGUGUUCGGGUUGUCAUGCCAAUGGCACUGCCCGGUAGCUAAAUGCGGAAGAGAUAAGUGCUGAAAGCAUCUAAGCACGAAACU